rnacentral:rRNA from 1 species
UACGUAGGGGGCAAGCGUUGUCCGGAUUCAUUGGGCGUAAAGAGCGUGUAGGCGGCCAGAUAGGUCAGCUGUGAAAACUCGGGGCUCAACCCUGAGACGUCGGUUGAAACCAUCUGGCUAGAGUCCGGAAGAGGAGUGUGGAAUUCCCGGUGUAGCGGUGAAAUGCGCAGAUAUCGGGAAGAACACCCGUGGCGAAGGCGGCACUCUGGGACGGUACGUGGACGCGAUG